AUUGCUUCUUGGCCUUUUGGCUAAGAUCAAGUGUAGGAUCUCUAUCUAGAUGUCCAAUAGAUCUCUCAAACUCCAUAGGUCCAAGAUUGAACUCAUUUUUGUAAUUAAAAUUUUGAAUACAUUUAUUUUUAUUUUCUUUAUUUUGCUGUGCUCGAAAAUAUGCACAGUAAAACAUACACGGA